AAUAAAACCCGAGACUCAGGAACACAGAAGGGGACGUUGUGUUGUGUUCGUCCCCUUCUGUGUUCCUGAGUCUCGGUUUUUUUUA
rnacentral:pre_miRNA from 1 species